rnacentral:rRNA from 1 species
GAUGAACGCUGGCGGCGUGCCUAAUACAUGCCAGUCGAGCGAACAGACGAGGAGCUUGCUCCUCUGACGUUAGCGGCGGACGGGUGGGUAACACGUGGAUAACCUACCUAUAAGACUGGGAUAACUUCGGGAAACCGGAGCUAAUACCGGAUAAUAUAUUGAACCGCAUGGUUCAAUAGUGAAAGACGGUUUUGCUGUCACUUAUAGAUGGAUCCGCGCCGCAUUAGCUAGUUGGUAAGGUAACGGCUUACCAAGGCAACGAUGCGUAGCCGACCUGAGAGGGUGAUCGGCCACACUGGAACUGAGACACGGUCCAGACUCCUACGGGAGGCAGCAGUAGGGAAUCUUCCGCAAUGGGCGAAAGCUUGACGGAGCAACGCCGCGUGAGUGAUGAAGGUCUUCGGAUCGUAAAACUCUGUUAUUAGGGAAGAACAAAUGUGUAAGUAACUAUGCACGUCUUGACGGUACCUAAUCAGAAAGCCACGGCUAACUACGUG